rnacentral:rRNA from 1 species
CCUACGGGAGGCAGCAGUCGAGAAUCUUUCACAAUGGGGGAAACCCUGAUGCUGCGACGCCGCGUGGGUGAAUGAGUAAUUCGUUAUGUAAAGCUCUAUCAGCAGGGAAGCAAAUGACGAUGACUGAGUCACAAGCCCCGGCUAACUAGGUCCCAGCAGCCGCGGUAGUACGUAGGGGGCAAGCGUUAGCCGGAUUUACUGGGUGUAAAGGGAGCGUAGACGGCGGUGCAAGUCUGGAGUGAAAGGCGCGGGCUCAACCCCCGGACGGCUCAGGAAACUGUACGUCUAGAGUGCAGGAGAGGUAAGCGGAAUUCCCAGUGUAGCAGUGAAAUGCGUAGAUAUUAGGAGGAACACUAGUGGCGAAGGCGGGUUACUGGACUUUAACUGACGCUGAGGCUCGAAGGCGAGGGGAGCGAAAGGGAUUAGAUACCCGAGUAGUC